UCUUGGCUAAGGUGUCUCGGCUAAGGUGUCUUGGCUAAUGUGUCUUGGCUAAGGUGUCUUGGCUAAGGUGUCUUGGCUAAGGUGUCUUGGCUAAGGUGUCUUGGCUAAGGUGUCUUGGCUAAGGUGUCUUGGCUAGUGUGUCUUGGCUAAGGUGUCUUGGCUAAUGUGUCUUGGCUAAGGUGUCUUGGCUAAGGUCUCUUGGCUUAUGUGUCUUGGCUAAAGUGUCUUGGCUAAUGUGUCUUGGCUAAGGUGUCUUGGCUUAUGUGUCUUGGCUAAUGUGUCUUGGCUAAUGUGUCUUGGCUAAUGUGUCUUGGCUAAGGUGUCUUGGCUAAUGUGUAUUGGCUAAUGUGUUUUGGCUAAUGUGUUUUGGCUAAGGUGUCUUGGCUAAUGUGUCUUGGCUAAUGUGUCUCGGCUUAUGUGUCUUGGCUGAUGUGUCUUUGCUAAGGUGUCCUGGCUAAGGUGUCUUGGCUAAGGUGUCUGGGCUAAAGUGUCUUGGCAGAGGUGUCUUGGCUAAUGUGUCUUGGCUAGUGUGUCUUGGCUAAUGUGUCUUGGCUUAUGUGUCCGGGCUAAUGUGUCUUGGCUUAUGUGUCUUGGCUAAUGUGUUUUGGCUAAGGUGUCUUGGCUAAGGUGUCUUGGCUUAUGUGUCUUGGCUAAUGUGUCUUGGCUAAUGUGUCUUGGCUAUGGUGUCUUGGCUUAUGUGUCUUGGCUAAUGUGUCUUGGCUAAGGUGUCUUGGCUAAUGUGUCUUGGCUAAUGUGUCUUGACUAAUGUGUCUUGGCUUAUGUGUCUUGGCUAAUGUGUCUUGGCUAAGGUGUCUUGGCUAAGGUGUCUUGGCUAAAGUGUCUCGGCUAAUGUGUCUUGGCUGAGGUGUCUUGGCUAAUGUGUCUUGGCUAAUGUGUUUUGGCUAAUGUGUCUUGGCUAAGGUGUCUUGGCUAAGGUGUCUUGGCUAAGGAAUCUUGGCUAAUGCGUCUUGGCUAAGGUGUCUUGACUAAUGUGUCUUGGCUAAUGUGUCUUGGCUAAGGUGUCUUGGCUAAGGUGUCUUGGCUAAUGUGUCUUGGCUAAGGUGUCUUGGCUAAUGUGUCUCGACUAAUGUGUCUUGGCUAAUGUGUCUUGGCUAAGGUGUCUUGGCUAAUGUGUCUCGGCUAAUGUGUCUCGGCUAAUGUGUCUUGGCUAAGGUGUCUUGGCUAAGGUCUCUUGGCUUAUGUGUCUUGGCUAAAGUGUCUUGGCUAAAGUUUCUUGGCUAAGGUGUCUUGGCUAAGGUGUCUUCUUUAAGGUGUCUUGGCUAAGGUGUCUUGGCUAAGGUGUCUUGGCUAAGGUGUCUUGGCUAGUGUGUCUUGGCUAAGGUGUCUUGGCUAAUGUGUCUUGGCUAAGGUGUCUUGGCUAAGGUCUCUUGGCUUAUGUGUCUUGGCUAAAGUGUCUUGGCUAAAGUUUCUUGGCUAAGGUGUCUUGGCUAAGGUGUCUUCUUUAAGGUGUCUUGGCUAAGGUGUCUUGGCUAAGGUGUCUUGGCUAAGGUCUCUUGGCUUAUGUGUCUUGGCUAAAGUGUCUUGGCUAAUGUGUCUUGGCUAAGGUGUCUUGGCUUAUGUGUCUUGGCUAAAGUGUCUUGGCUAAGGUGUAUUGGCUAAUGUGUCUUGGCUAAUGUUUCUUGGCUAAUGUGUCUUGGCUAAAUUGUCUUGGCUAAGGUGUCUUGGCUAAGGUCUCUUGGCUAAUGUGUCUUGGCUAAUGUGUCUUGGCUAAUUUGUAUUGGCUAAGGUGUCUUGGCUGAGGUGUCUUGGCUAAGGUGUCUUGGCUAAGGUGUCUUGGCUAAUGUGUCUUGGCUAAGGUGUCUUGGCUAAGGUGUCUUUGCUAAGGUGUCAUGGCUAAGGUGUCUUGGCUAAUGUGUCUUGGCUAAUGUGUCUUGGCAAAGGUGUCUUGGCUAAGGUGUCUUGGCUAAUGUGUCUUGGCUAAUGUGUCUUGGCUAAUGUGUCUUGGCUAAGGUGUCUUGGCUUAUGUGUCUUGGCUAAGGUGUCUUGGCUAAUGUGUCUUGGCUAAAGUGUCUUGGCUAAUGUGUCUUGGCUAAAGUGUCUUGGCUAAAGUGUCUUGGCUAAGGUGUCUUGGCUAAUGUGUCUUGGCUAAUGUGUCUUGGCUAAUGUGUCUUGGCUAAGGUUUCUUGGCUAAUGUGUCUUGGCUUAUGUGUCUUGGCUAAAGUGUCUUGGCUAAGGUGUCUUGACUAAUGUGUCUUGGCUAAGGUGUCUUGGCUAAUGUGUCUUGGCUAAUGUGUCUUGGCUAAUGUGUCUUGGCUAAGGUGUCUUGGCUAAUGUGUAUUGGCUAAUGUGUUUUGGCUAAUGUGUUUUGGCUAAGGUGUCUUGGCUAAUGUGUCUUGGCUAAUGUGUCUUGGCUAAUGUGUCUUGGCUAAUGUGUCUUGGCUAAUGUGUCUUGGCUAAGGUGUCCUGGCUAAGGUGUCUUGGCUAAUGUGUCUCGGCUAAGGUGUCUUGGCUAAUGUGUCUUGGCUAAUGUGUCUUGGCUAAGGUGUCUUGGCUAAGGUGUCUUGGCUAAUGUGUCUCGGCUUAUGUGUCUCGGCUAAUGUGUCUUGGCUAAGGUGUCUUGGCUAAGGUCUCUUGGCUUAUGUGUCUUGGCUAAAGUGUCUUGGCUAAAGUUUCUUGGCUAAGGUGUCUUGGCUAAGGUGUCUUGGCUAAGGUGUCUUGGCUAAUGUGUCUUGGCUAGUGUGUCUUGGCUAAGGUGUCUUGGCUAAUGUGUCUUGGCUAAUGUGUCUUGGCUAAGGUGUCUUGGCUAAUGUGUCUUGGCUAAAGUGUCUUGGCUAAUGUGUCUUGGCUAAGGUGUCUUGGCUAAUGUGUCUUGGCUAAUGUGUCUCGGCUAAGGUGUCUUGGCUAAUGUGUCUUGGCUAAUGUGUCUUGGCUAAUGUGUCUUGGCUUAUGCGUCUUGGCUAAUGCGUCUUGGCUAAUGUGUCUUGGGUAAAGUGUCUUGGCUAAUGUGUCUUGGCUAAUGUGUCUUGGCUAAUGUUUCUUGGCUAAUGUGUCUUGGCUAAAUUGUCUUGGCUAAGGUGUCUUGGCUAAGGUCUCUUGGCUAAUGUGUCUUGGCUAAGGUGUCUUGGCUAAGGUGUCUUGGCUAAUGUGUCUUGGCUAAGGUGUCUUGGCUAAGGUGUCUUUGCUAAGGUGUCAUGGCUAAGGUGUCUUGGCUAAUGUGUCUUGGCUAAUGUGUCUUGGCUUAUGUGUCUUGGCUAAGGUGUCUUGGCUAAUGUGUCUUGGCUAAUGUGUCUUGGCUAAUGUGUCUUGGCUAAUGUGUCUUGGCUAAUGUGUCUUGGCAAAGGUGUCUUGGCUAAGGUGUCUUGGCUAAUGUGUCUUGGCUAAUGUGUCUUGGCUAAUGUGUCUUGGCUAAUGUGUCUUGGCUAAGGUGUCUUGGCUUAUGUGUCUUGGCUAAGGUGUCUUUUCUAAGGUGUCUUGGCUAAUGUGUCUUGACCAAGGUGUCUUGGCUAAUGUGUCUUUUCUAAGGUGUCUUGGCUAAUGUGUCUUGGCUAAGGUGUCUUGGCUAAUGUGUCUUGGCUAAUGUGUCUUGGCUAAUGUGUCUUGGCUUAUGUGUCUUGGCUAAGGUGUCUUGGCUAAUGUGUCUUGGCUAAUGUGUCUUGGCUAAUGUGUCUUGGCUAAUGUGUCUUGGCUAAUGUGUCUUGGCAAAGGUGUCUUGGCUAAGGUGUCUUGGCUAAUGUGUCUUGGCUAAUGUGUCUUGGCUAAUGUGUCUUGGCUAAUGUGUCUUGGCUAAGGUGUCUUGGCUUAUGUGUCUUGGCUAAGGUGUCUUUUCUAAGGUGUCUUGGCUAAUGUGUCUUGACCAAGGUGUCUUGGCUAAUGUGUCUUUUCUAAGGUGUCUUGGCUAAUGUGUCUUGGCUAAGGUGUCUUGGCUAAUGUGUCUUGGCUAAUGUGUCUUGGCUAAUGUGUCUUGGCUAAUGUGUCUUGGCUAAGGUGUCUUGGCUAAGGUGUCUUGGCUAAGGUGUCUCGGCUAAUGUGUCUUGGCUAAGGUGUCUUGGUUAAUGUGUCUUGGCUAAUGUGUCUCGGCUUAUGUGUCUUGGCUAAUGUGUCUUGGCUAAUGUGUCUUGGCUAAAGUGUCUUGGCUAAGGUGUCUUGGCUAAGGUGUCUUGGCUAAUGUGUCUUGGCUAAGGUGUCUUGGCUAAUGUGUCUUGGCUAAUGUGUCUUGGCUAAGGUGUCUUAGCUAAGGUGUCUUGGCUAAGGUGUCUUGGCUAAGGUGUCUUGGCUAAGGUGUCUUGGCUAAUGUGUCUUGGCUAAUGUGUCUUGGCUAAGGUGUCUUGGCUAAUGUGUCUUGGCUAAGGUGUCUUGGCUAAGGUGUCUCGGCUAAUGUGUCUUGGCUAAGGUGUCUUGGCUAAUGUGUCUUGGCUCAUGUGUCUCGGCUUAUGUGUCUUGGCUAAUGUGUCUUGGCUAAUGUGUCUUGGCUAAAGUGUCUUGGCUAAGGUGUCUUGGCUAAGGUGUCUUGGCUAAGGUGUCUUGGCUAAGGUGUCUUGGCUAAUGUGUCUCGGCUUAUGUGUCUUGGCUAAGGUGUCUUGGCUAAGGUGUCUUGGCUAAGGUGUCUUGGCGAAGGUGUCUUGGCUAAUGUGUCUCGGCUAAUGUGUCUUGGCUAAGGUGUCUUGGCUUAUGUGUCUUGGCUAAUGUGUCUCGGCUUAUGUGUCUUGGCUAAUGUGUCUUGGCUAAUGUGUCUUGGC